AUUCCCUUCAGGGAUUAUCCAGUCAAACUGGAACGAUACAGAGAAGAUUAAUGGCUCCUGCGCAAAAUCGCAUUGCUUUCAGAAAAGAAAGUGUGCUCGAUCUGU
rnacentral:snRNA from 1 species